rnacentral:rRNA from 1 species
GACGAACGCUGGCGGCGUGCUUAACACAUGCAAGUCGAGCGGAAAGGCCCCCUUGUGGGCUACUCGAGUGGCGACCGGGUGGGUAACACGUGAGUACCCUACCCUUUCCUUUGGGAUAACUUCCGGAAACUGGGGCUAAUACCGGAUAGGUGCUCCUGCUGCACGGUGGUGGUUGGAAAGUUUCGGCGGUUGGGGAUGGACUCGCGGCUAAUCAGCUGGUUGGUGGGGUAGUGGCUCACCAGGGCUUUGGCGGGUAGCCGGCCUGAGAGGGGGACCGCCCACCGUGCGACUGAGAUACGGCCCGGAGGCGUACGGGAGGCAGCAGUGGGGAAGAUUGCACAAUCGACCCAAGCCUGAUGAAGCAACGCCGCGUGCGGGAUGGUGGCCUUCUUGUGGAAAACGGUAUUCCCCUGCGACGAAGCGUGACUGACGGUAAUGGAUGAAUAAGCACCGGCUAACUACGUG